rnacentral:rRNA from 1 species
GACGAACGCUGGCGGCGUGCUUAACACAUGCAAGUCGAGCGGUAAGGCCCUUUCGGGGGUACACGAGCGGCGAACGGGUGCGUAACACGUGGGUGACCUGCCCUCAGCUCUGGGAUAAGCCUGGGAAACCGGGUCUAAUACUGGAUAUGACUCCAUGACGCAUGUUGUGGGGUGGAAAGCCUUGUGCGGCUGAGGAUGGGCCCGCGGCCUAUCAGCUUGUUGGUGGGGUGAUGGCCUACCAAGGCGACGACGGGUAGCCGGCCUGAGAGGGCGACCGGCCACACUGGGACUGAGAUACGGCCCAGACUCCUACGGGAGGCAGCAGUGGGGAAUCUUGCGCAAUGGGCGAAAGCCUGACGCAGCGACGCCGCGUGAGGGAUGACGGCC